rnacentral:rRNA from 1 species
GACGAACGCUGGCGGCGUGCCUAAUACAUGCAAGUAGAACGCAGUUGCGAACGGGUGAGUAACGCGUAGGUAACUGCCUCAUAGCGGGGGAUAACUAUUGGAAACGAUAGCUAAUACCGCAUACUGUGAGAUGGACCUGCGUGGUAUUAGCUGGUUGGUGGGGUAAAGGCGCACCAAGGCCCCGAUGCAUAGCCGACCUGAGAGGGUGAUCGGCCACACUGGAACUGAGACACGGCCCAGACUCCUACGGGAGGCAGCAGUAGGGAAUUUUCGGCAAUGGACGAAAGUCUGACCGAGCAACGCCGCGUGAGUGAAGAAGGUUUUCGGAUCGUAAAACUCUGUUGUUGGGGAGGCGGUAUCUAACCAGAAAGCCACGGCUAACUACGUGCCAGCCGCCGCGGUAAUAC